rnacentral:rRNA from 1 species
CGCAAACAACGGGCGAUCGGCGGGGGGAAGUGGUAGGGUGGGGGCUUUGUCCGGAAUGACUUGGCGGAAAGAGUGCGUAGGGGGUGUGUCGCGGUGGUCGGGAAAGCGCACGGCUGAACGGUGGGCGUGCGGGCGGUACGGGCAGACUGGAGUACUGCAGGGGAGACUGGAAGUCCUGGUGUAGCGGUGGAAUGCGCAGAUAGCAGGAGGAACACCGGGGGCGAAGGCGGGUCUCUGGGCAGUAACUGACGCUGAGGAGCGAAAGCGUGGGGAGCGAACAGGAUUAGAUACCCCAGUAGUC